UAUUACCUUGUUGUUAUUCGCACAUCGACACUCAAGGAGAACAGACGGCAACAAAAAUCGCUUCAAUCGCUACAAUACAUUUUAUAUCGCGACAAUUAUAAGAUUAUUUGCUAUAAAUGGUGAUUCACUGUACAUACGAUUAAUUAAUAUCCGCGAUAAGCAAUUUAAACACUUUAUUCCGUGCGAAUAUAUAUCUCAAUUAUUACUUGUACAAUAUUUAAUUAUCCUCUGCCGUUGUUCUCUGCUUUCCGUGAUGAGAGUCGAACGGGUCAUAAUUCCAAUUUCGUAGUUUUGCCGAGUUUCUCUUUUGUCAUGAUGACAAAGUUCGCGUCGAUUAAUAUCAGUGGUUCCGUAUAAAAUAUCGUGCGAUCGUCGUAUUUUCGCAAGUGAGUCGCGAAGGAGCAGCUGAUAGAUUGUUGAGAAGAGAAGGGGGUCCAGAGAACACCGGGCAUUGGUAGAGUAACUUUAUGAUCAACAUGUGAGCUGCAACUCUGCUGCUGCGCAUCGUGUUGAUUGAUGUUUGAAGUUGCGAGGCAAAAGGGAUGACGGUGGUUGAAGAGAGUGGCAGGCAGCUGCGCGAGAACGGUUCUGAAAUCGACGACGAAACUCCCAAACAUCCAACCACGAUAACUCGUUUCACGGCUUUUCCACGAAAGUGGAGCGAGCGGAAAGGCGAUUACCUCGGAAACUUGUGCGAAAGUUCGGCGAGGCGCGAUAUCGGAUGCGCAUUCAUUCUUAUUGAUUGCAUUGCGCUUAUUCAUGUAAUUUCCAAAACGCCAUUAUUCCUCUAAUGUAAAAAUUCGGAAUGACUCUCCACAUUUAUGUGAUUUUUUUGUCGCAGAUAAUAGGUUAAGAAUAUUGACUUGUAGAAAACUUUUAAUUUUACUCUACAAAUUAUCAGAUUAUAUCCUCAAAGUACUGUGCAAGGACUAUCACUCUACACAAACUCUAUUAUUGUAAGACAUUAUUUUCAAAUAUAAAGUAAUGGUACAACAAAGUAUAACAAUAUUAAUCAUAAUAUUGUUUAGUCGAAAAAUCUUGAUCAUCUGCAAUUCUGCAAUUACUAGUUUCAAAUAUUAUUAAA